rnacentral:rRNA from 1 species
AGUACACGUGAGUGACCUGCCUUUUAGACUGGAACAACUUACCGAAAGGUGAGCUAAUGCCGGAUGAGUUAUAUAAGUGCAUGUUUAUAUAGGAAAAUUGGGGAGACCUGACGCUGAAAGAUGGACUCGCGUCCCAUUAGCUAGUUGGUAGGGUAAUGGCCUACCAAGGCGACGAUGGGUAGCCGGCCUGAGAGGGUGGCCGGCCACACUGGGACUGAGACACGGCCCAGACUCCUACGGGAGGCAGCAG